rnacentral:rRNA from 1 species
CCUACGGGAGGCAGCAGUGGGGAAUAUUGCACAAUGGGGGAAACCCUGAUGCAGCAACGCCGCGUGAAGGAAGACGGUUUUCGGAUUGUAAACUUCUGUUCUUAGUGAAGCAAAAGGCCGGUAGCUAAGGAGCAAGCCACGGCUAACUACGUGCCCGCGGCCGCGGUAGUACGUAGGUGGCAAGCUUUGUCCGGAAUUACUGGGGGUAAAGGGAGCGCAGGCGGGAAGCCGAGUCAGAUGUGAAAACUACGGGCUGAAAUUGUAGACAGCAGUUGAAACUGGUUGUCUUGAGGGAAGUAGAGGUUCGCGGAAUUCGGAGUGUAGCGGUGAAAUGCGUAGAUAUUGGGAGGAACACCGGUGGCGAAGGCGGCCAACUGGGCUUUAACUGACGCUGAGGCUCGAAAGUGUGGGGAGCAAACAGGAUGAGAUACCCUUGUAGUC